rnacentral:lncRNA from 1 species
CGGCGAGCUUUUUACCCGGGCGGCCUCUCAACCCUAGGUCAGCGGGUUGCGGAGGAUCGUGCGGGUAGCAAAGGGAGGGCGAGUGCUCCUGCGGCCCCAGACGGCAACCAGGAUCUAAUUCAGGAUCCCACAUUGUAUUUGUCAUAUCUCCUUAGGCCCUUUCAAUCUGGGACAGUCCUUUUGUCUUUCAUGUCUUUGGAAACUUUUGAAGAGUCCUGGCCAGAACAUACAUCAUUGUUAGAAUCAUCACCCUGCAGCUAGCUUGGACACCAUUAAAAGGGCUCAUCAACUGCAAACGGAUAGAAGUAUCUGAUAUUCGUGAAGACAGAGUUUCAGGGCUUCUGCCUGGAGCUACACUCUCCAGAAGCCCCUGCUUGGCCUCUCUGCACCCAACCCCACCCCAACCAGUCACAGCUUGGGUCGUGUGUGGUGUUUCUUGGCAACUGGAAAACAGACUCCUCCAGCAGCUCCACAGGCCCCUUGUCCUCACUGAGCAGAAGACUACAGAAGCUGGCUACUGAAGAAGCUGUCCAAGUCUUAGAGCUCCUCCUUGGCCCUGCUUAGCACACUUACCACAGAGCAGUAACCGAGUGCUGGCUGUUACUCAUUUGCGCUUACUACCUGCAGGGACUUCAGAGGGAUUUGUCAGACCCCAUUUCACCCUAAGGCCACUCCCUAAGAAUCUCCACAGGAGGCUACCCAUAGAGAGAGGUGGCUUGCCUAGGGUCUCCACUGCCUUAGGUCAUACGUGGACACUUCCAGGGCUAAGGGGAUUAAUAUCUUUUUGCCUACCUGUAACCCACAUAUCCAUUGGAAAAUUCUGCCUCCUGCUAUUUUCUGUUCUUUUAUUUGUUUUUUGGUAGGAAGAGUUUUAACUACUUCUUCAGUUCCUUUAAUAGUUGGAGGAUUAUUCAGGAUUUCUUUUUCUUCUUGCGUUAAUUUUGGUAAGUUAUAGUUUUCUAGGAAUUGGUCCAUUUUGUCUGUGUUCUCAAACUUGUCGGCAUAAAGUUUCCUUGUUUUUUUGUUCUCUGUUCUAUCUGUAGUUAUGUCUCCUUUUUCAUUGCUGAUAUUGGUUAUUUGUGCUUUCUCACUUUUUUUCUUGAUCAAUCUCUCCAGAGGUUUGUCUAUUUUAUUAGUCUUUUCAAAGAACCAGCUUUUGGCUUUGUUGCUCCUCUCUAUUGUGUCUUUGUUUUCUAUUUCUUUAAUUUCUGCUCUUAUCUUUUUUGAUCUCCUUCCUUCCACAUUUUUUGGAUUUAUUCUGUUGUUCUUUUUCUAAUUUCUUAAAUUGGGCACAGAGCUCAUUAAUUUUUGUGCAUUUAAGGACAUAACUUUCCCUCUAACUACUGCUUUUCUUCAAGUUCAGACAUGUCGUAUUUUAUUAUUGUUCGGUUCCAAGUACUCAGCAUUUCCAUCGUGGUUACUUCUUUGACCUGCGAGAAGUGUGUUUCUAAAUAUUUGGAGAUUUAAAAUUUUACCUCUUUGUUAUUGAAAUUUGUCUUAAUUGCAUUAUGAUCAGAGGAUGUGAUCUGUGUGAUAAAAGCUCUGAAAUUUAUUGAGACUUGUUUUAUGGCUUAGUACGUGAUCAGUAUUUUUGAAUGUUUCCUAUGUGAUUUAUAAGAAUGUAUGUUCUCUAAUUGUUGAAUACAGAGUUCUACAUAUGUCUAUUAUCAAGUUUGUUAAUUGUAUUGUUCACAUUUUCUAUAUCUACUGAUUUUCGGGGGGUCGUACUAUACCAUGAAUUGUAAGGUGUGUUAAUAUUCAGUUCUGAUGGUGGAUUUAUCUGUUUCUUCUUGUAAUUCUCUUUUUCUUUACAUGUUUUGAGGGUAUUUUAUUAGGAAUAUUCAAAUCAAGAAUUGUUAUAUAUUCCUGCUAAACAUGUAUGACGUUCUCUAUUCCUGAUAAUGCAUUUUUCCUUGAAGUCUAUUGUAUCUUACAGUAAUAUAGAAACACAGACUUUUCUCCUGUUAGGAUUUGUGUUACUUUGAAACAUUUUCAUGCCUUAAUACUUUAAUUAUGUCUCUUGGGAAUGGCAUACAGCUGGACCUUUUAAAAAUCGAAUCUAAUGCUCUCUAUCUUUUAAUGGGCAAGUUUAGUCUGUUUACAUAUAUUGUGAAAUAUUUGGAUUUUUCUCUACCGUCAUAGUUUUUUAUUUCUAUUUCCUACCACCACCUUUGUGAUGCUUCAUUUUUCUCUUUUUUUGCCUGCUUUUUUCAUUUGUUUGUUUCCUUAUUCUAUUUUUUUCCUCAUUGCGGUUUGGAAUUUACCUGUUCUUUUCCCAUUAUUUCUGUGGUUAUCCUUGAGGUUUUGCUGUGCACAUAUAACUUAUAAGUUUUUAAGUUAAAACAGUGCUGGAGUUCCCAUCAUGGUGCAGUGGAAACGAAUCCGACUAGGAACCAUGAGGUUGCGGGUUCGAUUCCUGACCUUGCUCAGUGGGUUAAGGAUCCGGCAUUGCCAUGAACUGUGGUGUAGGUCGCAGACAUGGCUUGGAUCUAAUGUGGCUAUGGCUGUGGUGUAGGCCUGCAGCCGUAGCUCCAAUUCGACCCCUAGCCUGGGAACCUCCAUGUGCCAUGGGUAUGGCCCUAAAAAACAAACAUAAAUCAAUCAAUCAAUAAAGUUAAACAGUACUUUAACAUCCUUCUUGAAUGCGAGAAGCUUAGAAACAUUCAACUCUAGUCAUUCCUCUCUUGGACCACGUGUUAUUUUUUUGAGUAUAUUUAUUUCCUCCCUUUCCCCCCCUAACCUCACAAAUUCUAUAUCAUCCUUAGUAUUAUUUUAUGUAGAUGGUGUGUGUUUGGAUUUUCAUGCAUAUAUUCUUGCAUCUCAGACCAUCAUUCUGGGAUCAUUUUCCUUCAUUAUGAAUACAGUGUUGAGAUGCCCUUUUAGUACAGAUUUGUUGGUGUUAAAUUCUCCCAGUCUUUAUUAUAUGUAAAUGUCUUUAUUCUAUACUCAUUCUUAAAAGAUAGAUUGUUAUAGGUAAUAUUAGAAGUCCAUUGUCAGUCUAAUUACUAUUUUUGUAGGUGUUUUUGUUUUCUGGGUAUUCUCAAGGUCUCUCUCUCUCAUGGAGGAGAAUGUUCAGGGGGUUCUGCACUUUCAUUCUAUUAGUGUUUCGGUAUGUAUUUCUUUUUUAUUUAUUGUACUUUGGAAAUGUGCUUCAUGCCUCUGGAUUCAUGUUUUUCAUAAUUUCUAGAAAGUUCUCAGUCAUUAUCUCUUCAAAUAUUGCCUUUCCUCCAUUAUUUCUAUGUUUUCUUUCUCAGAAUUCAGUUAGUCAUAUUUUGCAUCUCUUCAUUCUAUCUUCCAUAUCUCGUAACAUCUCAUUGAUAUUUUCUAUCUUGUCUUCUUGCACUUCAUUGUGGACAAUUUCUUCAGAUAUAUCUUUCAGCUUAUUGAUUCUCUCUUCAGCUGUGUCUGAUCUGCUGUUUAAUCUGUCCACAGAAUUUUUUAUUUCAACAAUGGUAUUUUUCAUUUGUACAGCCUUCAUAUAUUUCACUUACCAAUCUGCCUGGUCAUCUCUUAAUAGUUUCUUGUUGCUUGCUCAUCUUUGUGGUUGCCUCUGUUAUUUCUUUAAACAUUUUAUACAAUUUUUGUUCAACCAGUGUCACUGUUUGCCUGAGUAUGGCAUUGUAAAUAUUGUUCACAUCCAGACUACAUAGUACAGUCUAAUGACAUAUCCUUUGUUACAUACCUUUUUGUUUUCCUAGUAAUUCCCUCGUUUUUUUGGUUUGUUUUUUUUUUCUUUUGCCUAGUGUUCUAAUACCAUUACUAGGUCUUCUCUGAAAUUCUUUUAAAAAUCCCUAUCAGGCUGUGUCCCUCCUCUGCUCAAAAUUCUCCCAUAACUCCCAUCUCCCUCAGAAUAAAAGCCAAAGCUCUCACCAUGGCCCCAAAGUUUCUACACAAGCUGGUCCCCAUAACCUCUCUGACCUGGCCUCAUAUCACUCUUCCCAUCACUCACUCUUCUCCAGCCACAUUGGCCUCCUUGCUGUCCCUUAAACAUGCCAGAUAUCCCCCCUCUUCAGAGCCUUUGUACUUGCUGUUAUCACUGUCUGGAACACUCUAAAUUGUAGAUAAUCUGAUGACUUGCCCACCCACUUCUAGUAUGCUCAAAUGUCACCUCCCUCGAGAAGCAUUCCCUAACCACCAUAUCUAAAAUAACCCCAUUCACCAGCACUUUCAUCAUCCCCUUAUCCUAUUUAUGGCUUAUGUUUUUCUGCAGAGCACUGAUCACCACCUGAUAUAUUUAUUUAUUUAUUGUGAUUAGUGUUUGUCUGUCCCCAAUAGACUGUAAGCUCCACAAAGCAGGACUCUUGUUUUUGUUCUUUGCUGUAUCCCCAGUGCCGAGAACAGUGCAUAGUAAUAUUGAGUAGAUACUCAAUAAAUAUUUGUGGAAUAAA